ensembl:lncRNA
ACUGAGAGAAGGCAGCCCAUGAGUGUUGGUCACACCAGAGUAAGAGUAUUUUCUAGAGGUUUUUUUCCUUCCACCAGGGACUCUGUUCUGCUGGUGGAGAUAAUGUUCUAGAUAUGGGCCACUGCUCUUGAAAUGGCAGAAAGGCAUGUGUGAAUGUCACAUCUGAACAUCUGAAACAGCAAUUCACCAACAUUCUUUAGUUUUCCAAGUAUGUAUGUAAAGAGGCAAUGUUUCCUGGUCUCUUUUUUUUUCGCUUGGUUUUGUUCUAGAAGGGUUAGGGAAGCUAAUUCAUUUUUCCACCCCUCUAAUCCUGCUCCUGAAGAGGGGAGAACAGGACCAUGACAUGAUGUGCCUUGGGGGUAGGGAUUCAGCAGUAUUUUGGUAGGCUGAAGAACCCCAUUUUUCUGUGCAGUACUGGGAGUGAUCAGGAACUCUGAUUCCUCUUGGGUAAGGGCAAGAAAGCACAGAAACUGAGCCACAGCUGAUUUAAUAAGUUUUGCAAUUUACUGCAAACAUUAGUAUCCAAGACAAAUUCAGAUACUUUUUGCUUAUGCUGAGAGCACCCUCAGAUCGCCAGUCAGUGUUCUGAACAGAAAUCCAUGGGAAGGAUGGAGCCACCUCAGCACUUCUCCACUCUCCCAUGGAGGGCUCUUCUCCAAGCACACCACAGCCUGCAGCUGGUGAUGUGGUUUGUAUUGUCUAAAAACAAAUGUGAACACCAGCAUCGCCUGCUUACAAAGACAUGCCAAUUGAAGACAAGCUUUGCUCUUCCUUAAAUGACUUCAGUCACAGACGGAAGCUGCUUUGGUGACAUCACCAGGAAACCAGCAGUGUCAGUACCAGCAUGGGUUGUCUUUGCUCCAGCUGCACACUGUGACUCAAGACCAUUAAACCAGGGAGGAAGAUGUUAAGCAUCACAGAGGGAUUUUUGUGAUUUUAUUCCCCAAGGCUUCAAAGGGUAACAGGAAAAUUGGAAUUUCAGAACCACUCAAUGCCAAGCUAAGCACAAAGUCACACCUUCAAAUUUUCAAGUCAAUUAACACAGUAGGAGGGAACUGUGCACUAAUGAAAGUGUCUCUCAUUUAAACACCUCAGUGAAAACUGGGCUCUGAAACUGAGCCUGAACUUUUACUUGGCUCCCAUUUACUGGCUCUCCACAAGUUACACUUCAUACUUACGCGAAUAUUUUUUUGACAUUUCAGUAAUGUCAUAUUUGUUAUGAACAAAACAGCCUUGCUGGGACACUUGUAAUAGAUGUUUUAAAAUACUGCAUCCAAGGGGAGAUGUGAGAUGGAAGGAUUUACAUGGGAAACAGUGAUCUUAGGAGUGCAACAGCUGGAAGCUGCAUGGUGGCUGGCAGAGCUGCUUGAGAUGAAUUCCAAACCUGCAGAAUCUUGGCAGGACAAGGGGAGACAUGCCCAUCCCAAGGCUCUGCAGCCCUCCACCUGAUUUCAAAGCCUAAUAAAUUCAGUGGGACUAUGCACAUUAAAUUUAACUGUAUGGGUAUCUUGCGUUUUUUCAUCCCUUGUAAUCAGAGUUAAUUCUUUCAAGACAAGAUUUUUUUGGUAUUGCAGAAGGGCACAGUGUUAUUUUGUAAUAUAAGUGAUUUUAAUUUCCAUGUUGAUUUUCAUGUGAAUUUCAGGUGCUUAAUUAUUGCCUAAAGGUUUUUAAAGUCAUUGAUGUACAAAUUCUUGAUUAACACAAAUAUAAUCCUGAAUAAUAUGUUAAAAAAUUUCCUUGGAGAGGUUGCCUUAUCUGACAAUCUGGUGGAAAAUUUUGCAAGGGAAGGUGUGAUGACUUGGCUCUAUCUCUCUGCCCCAGUCCAUGCAGAGAGUGGGUGCCAGUGGGGCCAGCUCUCCCCAGGGGCCUCCUGUCCCUUUGCUUUGACUACAGGGCCAUUGGAAUUGCAAUGAUACA